AAGUGGACUAGGUUGAGCAGUUAGGCCCUGCUCCUUGCCCGCGCUGUGGUCUUGAGCGGGAACCGAACUCCGGACUCGUCCGGUCAGACCGGGUCGGGCCCCGGAAGCCAACGCAGAAGCCUCGUCCUGCGGGGCCAGCGGUCUGCGUCGAACACUCGCAGGGGUGUCUCGUCGCAGUUAGUCGGUGGCAAUCCGUCAGGCACGGAAGUGAGCAGCGGACCAUCGGACAUCUGUCGCUCGUAGGAUCGCGGGGUGGAGGAGGCAACCGGGACUCCCCGGCCCGGAACGCCGGGCAACUCCGGCCGUCCGCAU
rfam:Haladaptatus litoreus strain CGMCC 1.7737 genome assembly, contig: Ga0104463_101